rnacentral:rRNA from 1 species
AUUUAUAUGACAUCACAUUUAUGUGAGGCGAACGUAGGGAACUGAAAUAUCUCAUGUACCUACAGGAAAAGAAAGUAAUAACGAUUCCCUGAGUAGCGACGAGCGAACGGGGAGUAGCCGUUAGCAUUAAGAGUUACAAAAUUUAUUGAUAGAAGAAGUGGUUGGAAUCCCACAUCAUAGAAGGUUAUAAUCCUGUAAUCGAAAUCAAUAAUCUCUGCUAACAAAAAGUAAGGCGGGGCACGUGAAACCCUGUUUGAACGAAUAAGGAGGACCACCUCCUAAGGCUAAAUACUACUUGGUGACCGAUAGUGAAACAGUACCGUGAGGGAAAGGUGAAAAGAACCCCGGGAGGGGAGUGAAAUAGAUUCUGAAACUUUAUGCUUACAAAUUAGUCAGAGCACUAUUAAUAGUGUGAUGGCGUGCCUUUUGUAGAAUGAACCGGCGAGUUACUCUUAUCUAGCAAGGAUAAGUUCAAUAAGGAACGUAUCCGUAGCGAAAGCGAAUCUUAACAGGGUGUUAAGUUAGAUGAGGUAGACCCGAAACCAGGUGAGCUAGCCAUGAUCAGGUUGAAGUUUGGGUAAAACCAAAUGGAGGACCGAACCAGGGAGUGUUAAAAAACUCUUGGAUGAAUUGUGGCUAGGGGUGAAAUUCCAACCGAACCUGGAGAUAGCUGGUUCUCCCCGAAAUAGCUUUAGGGCUAGCGUAUAGUUUAAGUUAUGUGAAGGUAGAGCACUGAAUGUGUAAGGGCCCCAUCUCGGGGUACCAAGCUCAAUCAAACUCCGAAUGUUACAUAAUAUAUUAUGCAGUCAGACUACGGGUGAUAAGGUUCGUGGUCGAAAGGGAAACAGCCCAGACCGCCAGAUAAGGUCCCAAAUUUUAUGCUAAGUGGAAAAGGAAGUAGUAUUACAUAAACAACCAGGAGGUUGGCUUAGAAGCAGCCACCCUUUAAAGAGUGCGUAAAAGCUCACUGGUCGAUUGCAAUACUGCGCCGACAGUGUACCGGGGCUAAGCAUAAAACCGAAGCUGCGGAUUUAAAACUAAAGUUUUAAGUGGUAGGGGAGCGUUCUUAGUGCAUUGAAGCAAGACCGGCAAGGACUUGUGGAGCGCUAAGAAGUGAGAAUGCCGGUGUGAGUAACGAAAAGACGGGUGAGAAUCCCGUCCGUCGAAAGCCCAAGGUUUCCAGGAGAAGGUUCGUCCUUCCUGGGUUAGUCGGGGCCUAAGGUCAGGGCGAAAGCCGUAGCCGAUGGAUAGCAGGUUAAUAUUCCUGUACCAUGAUAAGUAGUGAUGGAGUGACGAAGGAGGAUAGCGUCCGAGGAUUAGUGGAUUUCCUUCGAGAACUCAAGGUAGUGGUUAUAGUUAAAUGCGUAAUCACGUUAUAAACUGAGAGUUGUUAGGUUAAGGAUGAUGAUUUCAUACUUCUAAAAAAAGCUUCUAAACUUAAUACUUAUCAUGCCCGUACCGUAAACCGACACAGGUGGGUAGGUAGAGUAUACUAAGACGCGCGAGAAAACUCUUGUUAAGGAACUCGGCAAAAUGACUCCGUAACUUCGGGAUAAGGAGGACUAGAGUUGUAAUACAUUAGUCGCAGAGAAUAGACCCAAGCAACUGUUUAUCAAAAACACAGGUCCCUGCUAAAUUUUAUGAUGAUGUAUAGGGGCUGACGCCUGCCCGGUGCUGGAAGAUUAAUAAAAGAUGUUAACGCAUUCGAUUGAAGUCCCAGUAAACGGCGGCCGUAACUAUAACGGUCCUAAGGUAGCGAAAUUCCUUGUCAGGUAAGUUCUGACCCGCACGAAAGGCGUAAUGAUUUGGGUACUGUCUCAACAAGAGACUCGGUGAAAUCAAGCUGCCGGUGAAAACGCCGGCUACCCGCGACUAGACGAAAAGACCCCAUGGAGCUUUACUGCAACUUCAUAUUGAUGUCUGGCGUUUGAUGCACAGGAUAGGUGGGAGACUUGGAAAUUAGGACUUUGGUCUUGAUGGAGUCAACCUUGGGAUACCACCCUUUAAACGCUGGAUGUCUAACCUCGAGUAUGUGGAAUACUAGGGACAGUGUGUGGUAGGCAGUUUGACUGGGGCGGUCGCCUCCCAAAAGGUAACGGAGGCGCUCAAAGGUACCCUCAGAAUGGUCGGAAAUCAUUCUUUAGAGUGCAAAGGCAUAAGGGUGCUUGACUGCGAGAGAAACAACUCGAGCAGGAACGAAAGUUGGACUUAGUGAUCUUACGGUUUCAAUGUGGAAUGGCCGUGACUCAACGGAUAAAAGCUACCCUGGGGAUAACAGGCUUAUCGUAUCCAAGCGUUUAUAGCGACGAUACGGUUUGGUACCUCGAUGUCGGCUCAUCGCAUCCUGGAGCUGGAGAAGGUUCCAAGGGUUGGGCUGUUCGCCCAUUAAAGCGGUACGCGAGCUGGGUUCAGAACGUCGUAAGACAGUUCGGUCUCUAUCUGUCGUGGGCGUUGGAGAUUUGAAGGGAGCUGCCCCUAGUAUGAGAAGACCGGGGUGGACGUACCUCUGGUGCACCAGUUGGACUGCCAGGUCCACAGCUGGGUAGCUACGUACGGAGAAGAUAAACGCUGAAAGCAUAUAAGCGUGAAACUUUCCUUAAGAUGAGAUCUCCCAGUACUUAUGUACAUAUAAGAUCCCUUAAAGACUAUAAGGUUGAUAGGCCAGGUGUGUAAGUGUAGUGAUAUAUUUAGCUGACUGGUACUAAUAGAUCGAAAAGAGUUCAUCAA